GACGAACGCUGGCGGCGUGCUUAACACAUGCAAGUCGAGCGAAGAGCGAUGGAAGCUUGCUUCUAUCAAUCUUAGUGGCGCACGGGUGAGUAACGCGUAAUCAACCUGCCCUUCAGAGGGGGACAACAGUUGGAAACGACUGCUAAUACCGCAUACGAUCUAAUCUCGGCAUCGAGGAUAGAUGAAAGGUGGCCUCUACAUGUAAGCUAUCACUGAAGGAGGGGAUUGCGUCUGAUUAGCUAGUUGGAGGGGUAACGGCCCACCAAGGCGAUGAUCAGUAGCCGGUCUGAGAGGAUGAACGGCCACAUUGGGACUGAGACACGGCCCAGACUCCUACGGGAGGCAGCAGUGGGGAAUCUUCCGCAAUGGACGAAAGUCUGACGGAGCAACGCCGCGUGAGUGAUGACGGCCUUCGGGUUGUAAAGCUCUGUUAAUCGGGACGAAAGGCCUUCUUGCGAAUAGUGAGAAGGAUUGACGGUACCGGAAUAGAAAGCCACGGCUAACUACGUG
rnacentral:rRNA from 1 species